UACGUAGGUGACAAGCGUUGUCCGGAUUUACUGGGCGUAAAGAGCGCGCAGGCGGUCGUUCAAGUCGAGUGUGAAAGCCCCCGGCUCAACUGGGGAGGGUCAUUCGAUACUGAUCGACUCGAAGGCAGGAGAGGGAAGUGGAAUUCCCGGUGUAGUGGUGAAAAUGCGUAGAUAUCGGGAGGAACACCAGUGGCGAAGGCGACUUCCUGGCCUGUUCUUGACGCUGAGGCGCGAAAGCUAGGGGAGCAAACGGG
rnacentral:rRNA from 1 species